GAUGAACGCUGGCGGCGUGCCUAAUACAUGCAAGUCGAGCGAACGGACGAGAAGCUUGCUUCUCUGAUGUUAGCGGCGGACGGGUGAGUAACACGUGGAUAACCUACCUAUAAGACUGGGAUAACUUCGGGAAACCGGAGCUAAUACCGGAUGAUAUUUUGAACCGCAUGGUUCAAAAGUGAAAGACGGUCUUGCUGUCACUUAUAGAUGGAUCCGCGCUGCAUUAGCUAGUUGGUAAGGUAACGGCUUACCAAGGCAACGAUGCAUAGCCGACCUGAGAGGGUGAUCGGCGACACUGGAACUGAGCCACGGUCCAGACUCCUACGGGAGGCAGCAGUAGGCAAUCUUCCGCAAUGGGCGAAAGCCUGACGGAGCAACGCCGCGUGAGUGAUGAAGGUCUUCGGAUCGUAAAACUCUGUUAUUAGGGAAGAACAUAUGUGUAAGUAACUGUGCACAUCUUGACGGUACCUAAUCAGAAAGCCACGGCUAACUACGUG
rnacentral:rRNA from 1 species